GGGCCCGUAGUUCACCGGUAGAACGCUUCAUUUGCAAUGAAGAUGUAGGAGGUUCGACUCCUCUCGGGUCCACCC
rnacentral:tRNA from 4 species